UUUUUUUUUGUCUUUUCAUUUAAAUAUUUUCAAAGAUAUUUUACUUUAUCCAUGUUAAUCUUUUGAAACGACAAUUUUAAUUGCUAGCAAUAAAAUUAUUACAGUUAUAAAAUUAUAAAAUUAAAUUAAAUAAAUAAUUUUAUUUUAUUCGUAAACUUUAUUGCUUUAAAGGACUUGAGUUGACGUAAUUAAGCUCCUCCUGAUUUUACAAAGUUAUCACGUAAUAUCUUCAGCUUUGUAAACAAAAAAUCAAGAGUUUGUAAACAAAAAAUCUUAAGUUCUUACUGUAUAAUUUGAAGGAACAUAGUUAUUUUUUAAACGCUUUAGACGACAAUUAUGAUGUUUAGUUGAUAUUAAAUAACAACAAAUAUUUAUAGAUCAGUAGUAUCAUUGUUAUUACGAGAUAGAGAGAUUUAGGAAAAAAACAGAUUCAAAGAGCGCCAAUUAGUAGUCAGUUAGAAUGACCCAUAAUAUUGUACGGAGUUUUUUAGCAUCUUUUGAUUUAAAAGGAAUAAAAAAUGUGGAGAAAAAAUGUGGCAAAAAGCAGAAAAAGAGAUGAAAGCAACUACGAAGUAUUCAUAAAGGAUUUUUGGACACAGAAGAGAAUGAAGAGAGUUUAACCUAUGGUGCUGGAGAACUUUAGUUUAAAUUUAUUUUAUAUUUAUUUAAUAGAGGCUACUAUUUACUUGAAAUUAAUUAAACUUUUAGAUUGAAACUAAAUCAAAAAAAAAAAGUAAGUUUUUCGUUUUUUUAAAAACUUACUUUGGUAAAAUUAUUUUGUCUAGUUAUAUUAUCAAUAUUUUUACAUAGAUUUUUAUAAAUUUUGCUUUACUUCUACUCGAAAACACUUUUAUAAUAAGAUAACAAUUGUCAACAGGCUUUUUAAGUGAGUUUUUUAUAUUUAUCUGAAGGAUUUUACGCUUUUUUUUCAAAACUAUUUUAUUCCACAGAAGAGCUCCGCGAUAUGUUAAAAGAGAUCUUCCAAAACUUGUAUGAGAAUAAUGUUAAUGAAUAAAAUUGUAAUUUCUUAAGUCAUAUUUGUCUUUUUGUUUUAUUGCAUAUAAAUUUUGAAAGGAUAUAGGGGUUAGGUUUAUCAUAAAUUUGUACAUAAAUAAAAGAACAAUGAAAACAUUUUGCUGGUAUAUAUUAAGAACAUUCAUAUCCAAUAAAAGAGGUCUGGGAUGAGUAUAACGAUCUUUAAAGUUUAUUAAACGUGCUAUAUGCUUCUGUUGCCGAUAUAGAGGAUAUGUUUAUAUGACAUUGAAUUAACGAGUGAUAAAGUUGAAUUAAUGAAUGUCUAUUUACAAAAUUUCUCGCUUUAUACAUUACUCCAAUAUUUUUUGAAACUUUAUUGCGCAAAAUUUCGAUAUGGUUUUUCCAAGUUAGAUUUUCAUCAAUGAAGACACCAAGGAAAUGUAUAACUUUUGAUUUUUUUAUUUGAACAUUGUUAAUAUUUA